GCCAUUCUCAUCCCUGUGCUCAGAGCUCUCAAGCACCCACGAUGGCCUUCUCAGGCCGAGCGCGCCCCUGCAUUAUCCCAGAGAACGAAGAAAUCCCCCGAGCAGCCCUUAACACUGUCCACGAGGCCAAUGGGACCGAGGACGAGAGGGCUGUUUCCAAACUGCAGCGCAGGCACAGUGACGUGAAAGUCUACAAGGAGUUCUGUGACUUUUAUGCGAAAUUCAACAUGGCCAACGCCCUGGCCAGCGCCACUUGCGAGCGCUGCAAGGGCGGCUUUGCGCCCGCUGAGACGAUCGUGAACAGUAAUGGGGAGCUGUACCAUGAGCAGUGUUUCGUGUGCGCUCAGUGCUUCCAGCAGUUCCCAGAAGGACUCUUCUAUGAGUUUGAAGGAAGAAAGUACUGUGAACAUGACUUUCAGAUGCUCUUUGCCCCUUGCUGUCAUCAGUGUGGUGAAUUCAUCAUUGGCCGAGUUAUCAAAGCCAUGAAUAACAGCUGGCAUCCGGAGUGCUUCCGCUGUGACCUCUGCCAGGAAGUUCUGGCAGAUAUCGGGUUUGUCAAGAAUGCUGGGAGACACCUGUGUCGCCCCUGUCAUAAUCGUGAGAAAGCCAGAGGCCUUGGGAAAUACAUCUGCCAGAAAUGCCAUGCUAUCAUCGAUGAGCAGCCUCUGAUAUUCAAGAACGACCCCUACCAUCCAGACCAUUUCAACUGCGCCAACUGCGGACAGGAAGGAUCUGACUGCCGAUGCACAGGAGCUGAAAGGGGAGCUAUACUGCCUGCCAUGCCAUGAUAAAAUGGGGGUCCCCAUCUGUGGCGCUUGCCGACGGCCCAUCGAAGGGCGUGUGGUGAACGCCAUGGGCAAGCAGUGGCAUGUGGAGCAUUUUGUUUGUGCCAAGUGUGAGAAACCCUUUCUUGGACAUCGCCAUUAUGAGAGGAAAGGCCUGGCGUAUUGUGAAACUCACUAUAACCAGCUAUUUGGUGAUGUUUGCUUCCACUGCAAUCGUGUUAUAGAAGGUGAUGUGGUCUCUGCUCUUAAUAAGGCCUGGUGCGUGAACUGCUUUGCCUGUUCUACCUGCAACACUAAAUUAACACUCAAGUAAGUGUACGGUUUUGUCCAGUGUGAAUCCUAAGACUGAAAACUUUGGGGGGACACUGAAAAAAAAUCCUAGAAUUUAGAAAAAGAGAAUUAUUUGAUUUCUUAUUUCCUCUUUCUGUUCAGGCCUUCUGAAAGUAAAGGUUCUUCCUUUAACUGUUCCCUGUUCUUUCUUCUAUUCCUUCUUUGUCCUACUCAAAGGGAUAAGUUUGUUGAAAUUGACCUAAAGCCAGUCUGCAAACACUGUUAUGAGAAAAUGCCAGAAGAAUUUAAGAGGCGACUUGCCAAACGGGAGAGAGAAGCAAAGGAUAAGGACAAGCAGAAAAAGAAAAAGCCAGUCUGUUUGUAAACUUUUCUAUCCCUGUGUCAUCAUUUUCACUACUUUCUCCUUUGGUUAGUCCUUUGGAAUAUGUUUUUGUUCUGUUUCUGUCUUUUGCUUUCUUCCCCCCCUGCAACUUUUGGGCGUGUAUUUGUAGUCAUCAGAAAUUUGGGCCAAGGGGAGCGGAUCACGAGGUCAGGAGAUCGAGACUAUCCUGGCUAACACGGUGAAACCCCAUCUCUACUAAAAAUACAAAAAAAACAUUAGCCAGGCGUGGUGGCGGUCGCCUGUAGUCCCAGCUCCUCAGGAGGCUGAGGCAGGAGAAUGGCUUGAACCCAGGAGGCGGAGCUUGCAGUGAGCCGAGACCGCGCCGCUGCACUCCAGCCUGGGUGACAGAGCAAGACUCUGUCUCAAAAAAAAAAAAAAAAAAGUGUAAGUGGAUUAAAAGAGAAACUUGGUCUAGUUCAUAAUAUUUUUAAUAGGGCUUUCCCUGGCUGCUGGAAAACUUAGGCCAGUAAGCAUCUCUUUGUUUAAAGUCCUACAAGACAAUUUGAAAUAAUUCAUUGUUCAUGCCAAAAUUCUAAGUACUGUUUUUCUUAGCAAGUGUAACAUAAUCAGGAACAAUGGGUACGAGUAAAACAUUCUUUGGAUGAUAUUCAGAGCCUUAUUAGCACUGCAUCUGAAUAAUAGGUCAUUUUGCCUCACUCAUUUGCCAAAGUAGCCAUUUCUAAGUUAAGGAAGUUUUUAGAUAGGCUCAUAGCCUUGUAUUUCGUUUUAGAUUGUAAGCUCAAUGGUAGGGAUACUAUAUUGGUAAUUAUGUUUUCAUAUAGCAACCACCACAGUAUAUUCUUGGUGCUUAAUAAAUGUUUAUAAUUGUUAACAAUAA